ACGCACGCUGGCGGCGUGCUUCACCCCUGCCAGUCGCACGGAAAGGCCCUGCUUUUGUGGGGUGCUCGAGUGGCGAACGGGUGAGUAACACGUGAGUAACCUGCCCUUGACUUUGGGAUAACUUCAGGAAACUGGGGCUAAUACCGGAUAGGAGCUCCUGCUGCAUGGUGGGGGUUGGAAAGUUUCGGCGGUUGGGGAUGGACUCGCGGCUUAUCAGCUUGUUGGUGGGGUAGUGGCUUACCAAGGCUUUGACGGGUAGCCGGCCUGAGAGGGUGACCGGCCACAUUGGGACUGAGAUACGGCCCAGACUCCUACGGGAGGCAGCAGUGGGGAAUAUUGCACAAUGGGCGGAAGCCUGAUGCAGCAACGCCGCGUGCGGGGUGACGGCCUUCGGGUUGUAAACCGCUUUCGCCUGUGACGAAGCGUGAGUGACGGUAAUGGGUAAAGAAGCACCGGCUAACUACGUG
rnacentral:rRNA from 1 species